AGCUGGAGGGUCUGGCUCCAAAGUCUGCCUUCUCGGCGCAGCGACCAGGAGCGUCCACAUCACGCUGCCACCUCUGUCUCCCCGGGUCUGCAGGUGAGGGGCCUUGAGUUGAGACCGCGUCCUUCCGAGUCGUGCAAGGAUGGGCUCCUUGGCGGCUCCGGAGGCCUGUCCGCAGGCUGCGAGCCGGUGACUUGCAGCGGGGCGCGCUCUACCAUCAGGUGUGCAUGCAGCGGUGACCUUCGGGAAGUGUCCGGCUCAGAACCUGACGCCAGUGGACGCUCGAUCUGGAGACAGCCCCAGGCGGAAGAUCCUGCCCAGGACGCGGCACAUACCCGGGACCCGGGAGCCCAGAGCCUCGGCUCGGCAAUGGCGUAUCCACUUGGGCGGGGCUCGAAAUCGGCCCACCCACCUGGGGGGUUGGGGGCGUGGCUCGGAGUGGGGCUUGGG
rnacentral:lncRNA from 1 species